UACGAAGGGGGCUAGCGUUGCUCGGAAUGACUGGGCGUAAAGGGCGCGUAGGCGGACGGCUUUGUCGGGCGUGAAAUUCCAGGGCUUAACCUUGGGGCUGCGUUCGAGACGGGUUGUCUAGAGUUUGGAAGAGGGUCGUGGAAUUCCCAGUGUAGAGGUGAAAUUCGUAGAUAUUGGGAAGAACACCGGUGGCGAAGGCGGCGACCUGGUCCUUGACUGACGCUGAGGCGCGAAAGCUAGGGGAGCAAACAGG
rnacentral:rRNA from 1 species